GCCUGAUUGGCUCAGUCAGUAGAGCAUGAGACUCUUGAUCUUGGGGUUGUGAGAUUGAGCCCCACGUUGGGUG
rnacentral:tRNA from 1 species